GCCACCGUGGUGUAGUGGUCAGCACGCUCGACGAGAAUUCGGGAGGUCCAUGGUUCGAGUCCAAGCGAGGGCA